CAUACAUAUGUAGGUACAUUAUAUAUUUUCCGAUUAUUCAACAUUUAUUAAAUUACGAAAUAAAACCGAGCUAAAACAUGAAUCACAGGAGACAUGUCAUUCUCUGUCACGUCGCAAUAUUCGUUCUGUAUUGCUGGGUCGGUCGGUCAGACUGAAAGGUUUUGGAACGUGUUGGAGAUCCUCAGUUGGUUGCCUGUCCCCCAGGGGAGGAGGGUGUGCCCACCUAUAACCCGUACCCCUACGACUGCCGGAAGUUCAUUGAGUGCACUAACGGAGAAGCAAUCAUGCAGUGCUGCCUCUCGAGACGGUUUGGGAUCAAGAUUUGUUAGUUUGCAGUCACGCUGCGCCCUGUGUCAUUGUCACAACUCCACCCCCGACCUCGACGUCAGACUCGACAACUACGACUCCAUCCGCGCCAACUACACCUACACCAGACCCAAUCGUGGAUGGAGGGGUGUACACAAUCGUUAAUUCAGCAACAGGGAUGGCGUUCAGCGUCUAUAACUCCAGCAUUACUAACGGAACUAAAAUCCAUGCGAUCCCGCAUGAGCCAAGUUGCUCAGAUUUGUCUCAAGUAUAUAAACUAGAGUAUAACGUUAAGUCAAUUAACAAUCCGGUUUCAUUUACUGGGGGACCUCAAAAUGAAUUACAGUUUGAUACCUGUACCCGCUUAAAGUGGAAGAUGUAAUCUCGUUUCUUCAAAUAAGAUGGUUACAACUGAAGAAAUUAUUUCUCUUUAAGCCUAGUACUCGGGACAAACUUUUCGCUUGAAAUGACAGGUUUUUUUGUGUUAGAUUACUCAUUACCUGAGUUUUACUACCCAAGCGGAAAUGUUUCUUAAAAUAAAUUAUGACAUACUGCUUAUGCAGGUAAGUUUUUGCUUGUUUAACUUUUUCACGUGAAAAAUCUGUCCUGAGUACUAGGCUUCCAUGCGGGGGGGGGAGGGGUUUAAGGUGGCAAUCCGUAGGGGACACCUACAUAUUAUGUAGUGAUGUUCCCCAGUAAGUAUUUUCUCAGUUUUUACAUAGCUACCAAUGGAUUCUACCUGAUUCGAUCGGCCCUUUGGAUUGGAAAUCAGCAGUGGGAACUUGGAUUGCACCCGGAAGGUCCAAAUCCUACGUUCCCAAUGGUUUGGGUAAUUUCACGACUUACAUGCACAUUCAAAAUAAUGCAGAAAUAAAUUCGAACAUUGCAAAGUGACCGUAAUGCUGAAUAACUUA